rnacentral:tRNA from 5 species
GCGCCAGUAGCUCAGCUGGAUAGAGUACCUGACUACGAAUCAGGCGGCCGGAGGUUCGAAUCCUUCCUGGCGCACCA